rnacentral:rRNA from 1 species
UACGUAGGGUGCAAGCGUUAAUCGGAAUUAUUGGGCGUAAAGCGUGCGCAGGCGGUUUUGUAAGUCUGAUGUGAAAUCCCCGGGCUCAACCUGGGAAUUGCAUUGGAGACUGCAAGGCUAGAAUCUGGCAGAGGGGGGUAGAAUUCCACGUGUAGCAGUGAAAUGCGUAGAGAUGUGGAGGAACACCGAUGGCGAAGGCAGCCCCCUGGGUCAAGAUUGACGCUCAUGCACGAAAGCGUGGGGAGCAAACAGG